rnacentral:rRNA from 1 species
UACGAAGGGGGCUAGCGUUGCUCGGAAUCACUGGGCGUAAAGCGCACGUAGGCGGACUCUUAAGUCAGGGGUGAAAUCCUGGAGAUCAACUCCAGAACUGCCUUUGAUACUGGGAGUCUUGAGUUCGGGAGAGGUGAGUGGAACUGCGAGUGUAGAGGUGAAAUUCGUAGAUAUUCGCAAGAACACCAGUGGCGAAGGCGGCUCACUGGCCCGGUACUGACGCUGAGGUGCGAAAGCGUGGGGAGCAAACAGG